rnacentral:rRNA from 1 species
UACGUAGGUGGCGAGCGUUGUCCGGAUUUACUGGGCGUAAAGCGCACGCAGGCGGUCUUUUAAGUUUGACGUGAAAGCUCCCGGCUUAACUGGGAGAGGUCGUUGAAUACUGGAAGACUUGAGGCAAUGAGAGGGGUGUAGAAUUCCCGGUGUAGUGGUGGAAUGCGUAGAUAUCGGGGGGAAUACCAGUGGCGAAAGCGGCACCCUAGCGUUAGCCUGACGCUCAUGUGCGAAAGCGUGGGGAGCGAACGGG